rnacentral:rRNA from 1 species
GACGAACGCUGGCGGCGUGCCUAAUACAUGCAAGUUGAGCGGUGAAGGUUGGUACUUGUACCAACUGGAUGAGCAGCGAACGGGUGAGUAACGCGUGUGGAAUGUGCCUUUGAGCGGGGGACAACAUGGGGAAACGAAUGCUAAGACGGCAUAAAAACUUUAAACACAGGUGGGAAGUGUAAGAGAUGCAAGUGCAGCACGCAAAGAUGAUCCCGCGUUGUAUUAGCGAGUUGGUGAGGUAAAGGCGCAUCAAGGCGAUGAUACAUAGCACACCUGAGAGGGUGAUCGGCCACCUUGGGACUGAGACACGCCCCAAACUCAUACGGGAGGCAGCCGUACGGCAUCUUCGGCAAUGGACGAAAGUCUGACCGCGAAACGCCGCGUGCGUGAACAGCGUUGUCGGAUCGUAAAACUCUGUCUGUAGAGAAGAACCUUCGUGCGCGUGGAACGCUCCUCAAGUGACGGUAACUACCCAGAAAGGGACGGCUAACUACGUG